AUUGAACGCUGGCGGCAGGCCUAACACAUGCAAGUCGAACGAGUGGCGGACGGGUGAGUAAUGUAUGGGAAAGUGCCCGAUGGCGGGGGAUAACUACUGGAAACGGUAGCUAAUACCGCAUACCAUCGGAUGUGCCCAGAUGGGAUUAGCUAGUUGGUGGGGUAACGGCUCACCAAGGCGACGAUCCCUAGCUGGUCUGAGAGGAUGACCAGCCACACUGGAACUGAGACACGGCCCAGACUCCUACGGGAGGCAGCAGUGGGGAAUAGUGCACAAUGGGCGCAAGCCUGAUUCAGCCAUGCCGCGUGUAUGAUGAAGGCCUUCGGGUUGUAAAGUACUUUCAGCGGGGAGGCGGUACCCGCAGAAGAAGCACCGGCUAACUCCGUGCCAGCAGCCGCGGUAAUUC
rnacentral:rRNA from 1 species